rnacentral:misc_RNA from 1 species
ACAGCAGCACGGGUAGCACCAACAGCUGCACCAAGCUUUUCUGCAAGUUUCUCAAUCAUUUUGAAGUUCUCUGCACUUUUCAACCCCCGACCCCCUGUGACCACUAUUCGUGCACUUCCAAGGUCAGGGCGCUCAGUGUCCUGAGAUGUAUGCUGUACAUAUCUAGACUUACCAACAGAAUCUUCACCAAAGGUUGAGAGGUCAACCUGGGAAAUACGAGCUUCAUUAGAUUUUGUAUCAGCUGAGAUCGCAGGUACUGGAAAAGAUGUUGAUCUAAUGGUCAACAUACAAGGACUAGUGCCAGUAUAUCGCACAGUACAAAGUGCAUUUCCAGCAUAAAUUGGUCU